GACGAACGCUGGCGGCGUGCUUAACACAUGCAAGUCGUACGGUAAGGCCCUUUCGGGGGUACACGAGUGGCGAACGGGUGAGUAACACGUGAGUAACCUGCCCACAACUUUGGGAUAACGCUAGGAAACUGGUGCUAAUACUGGAUAUGUGCUCCUGCUGCAUGGUGGGGGUUGGAAAGCUCCGGCGGUUGUGGAUGGACUCGCGGCCUAUCAGCUUGUUGGUGGGGUAGUGGCCUACCAAGGCGGCGACGGGUAGCCGGCCUGAGAGGGUGACCGGCCACAUUGGGACUGAGAUACGGCCCAGACUCCUACGGGAGGCAGCAGUGGGGAAUAUUGCACAAUGGGCGCAAGCCUGAUGCAGCAACGCCGCGUGCGGGAUGACGGCCUUCGGGUUCUAAACCGCUUUCAGCAGGGACGAAGCUUUUUGUGACGGUACCUGCAGAAGAAGCACCGGCUAACUACGUG
rnacentral:rRNA from 1 species